GACGAACGCUGGCGGCGUGCUUAACACAUGCAAGUCGAACGGAAAGGCCCUGCUUUUGUGGGGUGCUCGAGUGGCGAACGGGUGAGUAACACGUGAGUAACCUGCCCUUGACUUUGGGAUAACUUCAGGAAACUGGGGCUAAUACCGGAUAGGAGCUCCUGCUGCAUGGUGGGGGUUGGAAAGUUUCGGCGGUUGUGGAUGGACUCGCGGCUUAUCAGCUUGUUGGUGGGGUAGUGGCUUACCAAGGCUUUGACGGGUAGCCGGCCUGAGAGGGUGACCGGCCACAUUGGUACUGAGAUACGGCCCAGACUCCUACGGGGGGCAGCAGUGGGGAAUAUUGCACAAUGGGCGGAAGCCUGAUGCAGCAACGCCGCGUGCGGGAUGACGGCCUUCGGGUUGUAAACCGCUUUCGCCUGUGACGAAGCGUGAAUGACGGUAAUGUGUAAAGAAGCACCGGCUAACUACGUG
rnacentral:rRNA from 1 species